rnacentral:lncRNA from 1 species
CCCCCCCCCAAAUAAAACAGAAAUAAAAAAGGAUGUAACAAUUGGGAAAUAAUUAAAAUCCUACCUAAAUAUCCAAAUAGCUAUUAUUAUGGUGCAGGUUGUAGGAACUGUUGGAAAUUUUGAAUAUCCACCAUACAGAUCAGCUGGUCUGGUUGCACUCAUCCUCAGGUGAUGAGGGAAUUAGCCAGUUAAUUUACUGAACCAUUGGCAAUUAUUUUUGAAAGUCAUGGAGAACUAUGGAAGUCCCAAAGGCUGGAAAUAAAGCAAAUAUAGUAUUGAUUUACACAGAAGGAAGAAUGAUCUUGGCAAUUACUGCCCAGCACUUUUAUCUUCAAUCUCCAGUAAAAUAAUCGACCCAGCAGUACAAAAAGAGCUAUUAGAAAACUUCAAGAGGGCAUUGGAAACAUGAGCAACAAGUGACGUGGGAUAAAGAAAGAAUCCAUUCUAGAGGGAGUUAUUGAUGUUUUCUACAUAGAAGACUAGAAUCAAAAGGACAUCUGCAGGAGACCAUUUCUGUAAAUUGCAGUUCAAAAGUCUGUCACCUGAUGCGACUCCUGGGGGCAAAAGCAGCACCACUUCAAUGCUAUCCCAGCAUGAAAAAGUUAAUAAAGUACAUGUCACUGAGAAACCAAUUGUACCUGCAAGGCAACCAAAUGGAAGCAAGGAAGCAAGAGAAAGCCUUAGAAACGUUCAUGUUGAUUUGUCAGAUGCUGAUGACCACCAUGCAGAAAGCACUUUCCUUCACUGUCACCCUCCCACUGCCUGCUAACCCCCCACAAGGCCCAGCAAGCAAAGUGCCAUACCACCAAUUCACCACUGAGACACAGAGGAAGCAAGUUUUCUUUCUGCUUCCUGUAUAUAUAUAUAUAUAUAUAUAUAUAUAA